GACCCGAAACCCGGUGAUCUAGCCAUGGGCAGGUUGAAGGUUGGGUAACACUAACUGGAGGACCGAACCGACUAAUGUUGAAAAAUUAGCGGAUGACUUGUGGCUGGGGGGGAAAGGCCAAUCAAACCGGGAGAUAGCUGGUUCUCCCCGAAAGCUAUUUAGGUAGCGCCUCGUGAACUCAUCUCCGGGGGUAGAGCACUGUUUCGGCAAGGGGGUCAUCCCGACUUACCAACCCGAUGCAAACUGCGAAUACCGGAGAAUGUUAUCACGGGAGACACACGGCGGGUGCUAACGUCCGUCGUGAAGAGGGAAACAACCCAGACCGCCAGCUAAGGUCCCAAAGUCAUGGUUAAGUGGGAAACGAUGUGGGAAGGCCCAGACAGCCAGGAUGUUGGCUUAGAAGCAGCCAUCAUUUAAAGAAAGCGUAAUAGCUCACUGGUCGAGUCGGCCUGCGCGGAAGAUGUAACGGGG
rnacentral:rRNA from 1 species